CGGGGGGGUGCUAUACAUGCAGUCGAGCGAAUGGAUUAAGAGCUUGCUCUUAUGAAGUUAGCGGCGGACGGGUGAGUAACACGUGGGUAACCUGCCCAUAAGACUGGGAUAACUCCGGGAAACCGGGGCUAAUACCGGAUAAUAUUUUGAACCGCAUGGUUCGAAAUUGAAAGGCGGCUUCGGCUGUCACUUAUGGAUGGACCCGCGUCGCAUUAGCUAGUUGGUGAGGUAACGGCUCACCAAGGCAACGAUGCGUAGCCGACCUGAGAGGGUGAUCGGCCACACUGGGACUGAGACACGGCCCAGACUCCUACGGGAGGCAGCAGUAGGGAAUCUUCCGCAAUGGACGAAAGUCUGACGGAGCAACGCCGCGUGAGUGAUGAAGGCUUUCGGGUCGUAAAACUCUGUUGUUAGGGAAGAACAAGUGCUAGUUGAAUAAGCUGGCACCUUGACGGUACCUAACCAGAAAGCCACGGCUAACUACGUGCCAGCAGCCGCGGUAAUACGUAGGUGGCAAGCGUUAUCCGGAAUUAUUGGGCGUAAAGCGCGCGCAGGUGGUUUCUUAAGUCUGAUGUGAAAGCCCACGGCUCAACCGUGGAGGGUCAUUGGAAACUGGGAGACUUGAGUGCAGAAGAGGAAAGUGGAAUUCCAUGUGUAGCGGUGAAAUGCGUAGAGAUAUGGAGGAACACCAGUGGCGAAGGCGACUCUCUGGUCUGUAACUGACACUGAGGCGCGAAAGCGUGGGGGAGCAAACAGGAUUAGAUACCCUGGUAGUCCACGCCGUAAACGAUGAGUGCUAAGUGUUAGAGGGUUUCCGCCCUUUAGUGCUGAAGUUAACGCAUUAAGCACUCCGCCUGGGAGUACGGCCGCAAAGCUGAACUCAAAGAUUUGACGGGGCCCGCACAAGCGUGGAGCAUGUGUUUAAUUCAAGCAACGCGAGAACCUUACAGGUCUUG
rnacentral:rRNA from 1 species